rnacentral:rRNA from 1 species
GACGAACGCUGGCGGCGUGCUUAACACAUGCAAGUCGAACGAGAGGAGAAGGAAGCUUGCUUCUUUCAAAUCUAGUGGCAAACGGGUGAGUAACACGUAAACAACCUGCCUUCAGGAUGGGGACAACAGACGGAAACGACUGCUAAUACCGAAUAGGUAGCAGACAAGCAUUUGACUGCUAUUAAAGUGGCCUUGGCCAUGAACAUGGAUGGACCUGCGGUGCAUUAGCUGGUUGGUGAGGUAACGGCCCACCAAGGCGACGAUGCAUAGCCGGCCUGAGAGGGCGGACGGCCACAUUGGGACUGAGACACGGCCCAAAACUCCUACGGGAGGCAGCAGUAGGGAAUUUUCGUCAAUGGGGGGAACCCUGAACGAGCAAUGCCGCGUGAGUGAGGAAGGUCUUCGGAUCGUAAAGCUCUGUUGUAAGAGAAAAACGGCACUCAUAGGGAAUGAUGAGUGAGUGAUGGUAUCUUACCAGAAAGUCAACGGCUAAC